UACGGGGGGGGGCAAGCGUUUGUUCGGAAUCACUGGGCUUAAAGGGCGCGUAGGCGGGCUGUCAAGUCUGGGGUGAAAUGCCGCGGCUCAACCGUGGAACUGCCUUAGAUACUGACGGCCUCGAGGGAGGUAGGGGCGUGCGGAACUGUAGGUGGAGCGGUGAAAUGCGUUGAUAUCUACAGGAACUCCGGUGGCGAAAGCGGCGCGCUGGACCUCUUCUGACGCUGAGGCGCGAAAGCUAGGGGAGCAAACGGG
rnacentral:rRNA from 1 species